rfam:Gossypium raimondii Chr10_contig_1451, whole genome shotgun sequence.
UGCUAAAAAAUCCAUCUGUUUAUGCUGUUAAAAACUAGUGUAACUGACGGAAUAACCAAUGACACAUGAUGUGCCAUGUGUGCCUCAUGCUGACGUACAGAGACCGAUUUUUAAUAGUAAAAAUGGAUGACAUUUUUUAUAA